rnacentral:rRNA from 1 species
UACGUAGGUGGCAAGCGUUGUCCGGAUUUACUGGGCGAAAGAGCGCGCAGGCGGUCGUUCAAGUCGCGUGUGAAAGCCCCCGGCUCAACUGGGGAGGGUCACGCGAUACUGAUCGACUCGAAGGCAGGAGAGGGUAGGUGGAAUUCCCGGUGUAGUGGUGAAAUUCGUAGAUAUCGGGAGGAACACCGGUGGCGAAGGCGGCGAUCUGGGUAGAUACUGACGCUGAGGUGCGAAAGCGUGGGGAGCAAACAGG